rnacentral:rRNA from 1 species
AUUGAACGCUGGCGGCAGGCCUAACACAUGCAAGUCGAACGAGUGGCGGACGGGUGAGUAAUGCUUGGGAAUCUCGCUUAUGGAGGGGGAUAACUACUGGAACCGGUGGCUAAUACCGCAUACUAUCGGAUGCACCCAUAUGGGAUUAGCUAGUAGGUGGGGUAACGGCUCACCUAGGCGACGAUCUCUAGCUGGUCUGAGAGGAUGAUCAGCAACACUGGGACUGAGACACGGCCAAGACUCCUACGGGAGGAAGCAGUGGGGAAGAUUGCGCAAGGGGGGAAACCCUGACGCAGCCAUGACGCGUGAAUGAAGAAGGCCUUCGGGUUGUAAAGUUCUUUCGGUAGGGAGGCGUUAACUACAGAAGAAGCACCGGCUAACUCCGUGCCAGCAGCCGCGGUAAUAC